rnacentral:ncRNA from 1 species
ACAGUACAAACUGAGCAGGCGAUUCCCAUCAGCCGGAUGGGAAUGGGGCCGGGCCGCCCAAAGAGCGGCAGUGGAUGAGCUUUUGCACAUCUGCGGGACAGU